CUGAGAUUUCAUAUGAAACAAUAUCGGAAGAGCUGCUGGAGCCCUGGAAGUUCUAGAAGACCAGAACAAAUUAAAAAAUAAUAAUAAUUUUAAUAUCACCUACAGCUCUAAUCUGCCCCCAAUACGAUGUGGUCCAGUAACAACGAAGGCAAAUGAUUUACGUCAAGGACCAGAACCCACGCUACAAGCAGAGAAACUGGAGAGGUUCUAGAGAACAACCAAAAAGUACAAAGACAAAGGAAAAACAAGCUGUGAAGAUACCCAAGACCCAAAGUGAGAUUUACAGCAAACAGGAACUAAAGAGCAGACGGCAGGUGGUAGCUCAGAUGCCAAAGCAAGCCUCAUUGCAGUUGAAGAGGGGGCACAAAAAUAGAAUCGAAUGUGGCCGGGAGUGCUUAGAGUGGGAAAGAAGAUUCAAAGCCUCGGGACAGCUCUGUAAGGGAGAGAAGGCGUGGAAAUAUUCUCCUCGCUCACUCGCUUGCUCUCUCUUUCUCUCUCACGUCUGCGGUUGCUUAAACAAAUAAACAAAACAAGAUGGCUGCUGAUGGAUGGUUGUCUCCUGCACACCGGCAGAAACACCUUUGUGCUAGGGUUGCCCAGCUGAACACAUGCCACAGCUGAGCCGUCUGCCGAGCAGGCCUCACACCACUGCUGAUCAAUCUGCACAUGCCAAUUACGUGAUGUGGCGUGGGCUGGGAGGAGCUUGCACAGGUGAGGGGGCUUGGUGCAGGGAUGAAAUCGCUCCUGGGGUUCUCUGUGCCCCUGCUAUCCUCCUUGUCUCUGCUAGGAGAGAGUGAGGGGACAGCGAGGGCUGCUAGCACCAACCACUUUAUAUAUAGUGCCCCAUUAGACAACGUUUGGUGCCACCACCAUCUGCCUCUGAGAAGGGCCAACACAAUCCAAACGUGAAAGCUUAGGACAGACAGAAGAUUGGUUCCUGUUUGUGGCAAAUGCAAAUUCUGUCACCAGGCUGGAGAAAAGCUGGCCACUGUCCAGCCUUCUUAGGAUUUGUGAUGGGGAUAGACAUUCAUUUUUGUGCCCUUUCUUUUCUUCUUCCCUAGGAUGAUAUGCACAGCAGAAGCUUAACUCUGCACAGCGGGCUGGACUCUGCUAUCCUCAAGGAGGUCAACUCCCUUGGCAGCCCAGCCCCAGACAUACUGAUGGUGGUGUGGGUAGGGGAGUAGCCAGCUUAGCACUUGUGUGUGUGUGUGUGUGUGUGUGGUGUUUGUCAACACAUCUUCUCAAUUUCUUGUUACCAGUUCGAGUAGCCGUCUGAGGUGCUCCUAGGGAAAGCUGGCAGGACCUGGCACAUGAGGGAAGCCCCAGUGUCUAGAUGGCAGUGGAUGGAGUGAAGAGAUCGUGGAAAGCCUGGGUUACGCUCAUGGGCCCACAGAGUAGCACACUCAGUGCAUUUCUAGGAUUCUUGUCUUCUCUCCAAACCAAAGCCUGCAUAGCAACGGCAGAGGUCCUCUUGUCCUUCCCAAACCCAGCUCAUCUUUCCUCUCCGUAAGCAUUGGUGCAUGCAUCUUACUUACCAGCAGGCCAGAGUCUAGCUUGCUCUCCCUUCAUAAUCUCUCCCAUCACCUUAGCCAGAGGACCCUCUUCCUUCCCUCUAUGGACUUUAUUGUGUGAAUAUCUCAUAGAAUUCUGCUGCACAUGAUAUGGUUUGUGAAAGCCACUAGAUAAUGAGUCCAGUGAGUUCAAGUCCCUGUCUUGCACAUUUCGGUGUUCCUGCACAGUGCCGAUAAUAGUGCUUUCAACUACUGGGCUUGAAAUAUAUAUUCACUAAAAUGAGGGAGUUCUCAGGAAGUGGCAACUUGAAGAUUUGCCCCCGCAAAGUAUAUGGCUCAGAAAAAAAUAUUAGCAACAAAGACCCUUACAUGUAUGCCACACUCCCUGCUUUCAAAGCUUCCUCAAGAACCAGGAAGUCCCGUUGACUGAUCAGUCUCUCAGUGCUUCCCUGACCAUUGCCCUCCUGCUGUGAAGCCAUUGGAAACUUCCCUCACUUGCUAUUAUUUGUCACAGGCCUCAAAGCCAGAAUCAGUCAUUGCUAAGUUUUGGUUUUCAGGCUCAUGCAGAAGCAUUUUCAUUUGUGUCCUUUUUUAUCUGACUCUUUAAACUAAUCCUUCUUGACUUCAGAUCUUUGCACAAACUUCCCGUGUCAUCACUGGGGAGCUGUGGGCCCAGAGCAAAGGUAGGAGGCAAAAAGCGCCAAAUCUGCACGUUUUAUUUCAUUGGUACAUGUAUUUAAUCCAUCUGCAAACUAUUCAUUGGAUAGCAUUGUAGGCUCCCCUCUCUGGGAACACUAAGGUAUGUGUAUUCAACAGUGGAAAAUAAACAGAAGAUUUUAUUACAUAGUGCCACUGCCGCUCCUGGCAUGAGGAAUUUGUGCACCUGCAUUUUUAAAAUGUUUCAAAGUUUUUCCCCUUGGUGGAUUCCGUGGUAACACACAUUAGCUUCCCGGCUGUCACAGCCUGGUUCUUGUAGCUCCUGUGACUUCUGCCCAUAUCAUCCAGACAUCAUUGUUUUCAGAGCAGAUAGCAAACAUGCGUGAUGACUGCCCCUGUAAGCCUUUGAGAGUGCAGGUUCCUCUUUUGUCCUGAUAAACACCUUCCUCCUAAGAAUUAGCAAAACUGGAGUGGUGUAAUCCCAAAUUCUAGAGGUAGAGGACAGAUUAUCAGGGGAGGAAUAAAAGUCAGGGUUUAUCCCCAAAAGAUGUGGGAAUGGUUUUAGAGACAAAAGCUGAGUUGAUCCCUUCUGCCAUGCUCUUUGCCUUGUAGUCUGCUGUUUCUUAAGCACAGAAGCAAGUCACUUGCAGCUCUUCACUGAGGUUCUUCAGCAAAUAAGGCAACUCAGCAUGAUCCAGCUAGAACUGAGAUGCCCCAUUAGUGCUGGAACCUGGCUCCACGGAGCUUCAGGUUUGGAGAAUGGUAUAGAGGCAUUGGGAGGGGAGAGCACUAUUACUUGGAAUGGGACACAGCAUCUUGGCUUUCUUUUAUCUCUUCUUUUCUCUCUCUCUCUCUUUUCCUUUUUUUUUUUUUUUUUUUUUGCAAUGAUUCUGAUUUUGCAGGUGUCUAAAGUCAGCUUUGUGAGCACAGUGCUAACUAAACAAUUUCCCCUGCGAUCUCUGUAAUCUCCUGGAAAUGUUCAUUGAUUCCUUCCAAUGUCCCCCAUCACAGCCCAGAAGACUGGCAAUUUCAAGUCAUCUUAGGCAUGUUAACACUUUCUUAAAGUCAUAUUGCAGCAUAUUGUACACUUCUCCCUCAAACAGUGGGUCUCAGAGGAAGAUGAUAAUGACCCACUGCUACAUCAACUUGAUCAUUAGAGUUUCUGUCUCUCUAAGCAACAUCAGGCAGAUAACUUGAUCUAAAGAAUAUUUAUUUAUCUGUCCAAUGCUGCAAAUGGAGACAGAGAGAGCUCCACUGAUAGAAUCGCUGGGUGUGAAAUCUUCAUUGUUCAGUGUCAUCAAGAGCAGUGGAAUGCUUGUUUCAUUUAAAUAAUACUGAGUUUUCAAACACUACACACCAUCUGCCUUGGGAGCUGCCUGGCCCAGGCACAGAAUUUAAUGUAUGUGGCAUUUUGAAUGGUUUAAAUGCAAGCUUGUUCUGGUUUUAGUCCAAGGGGUGGUAGUGAAGUCGUAGGCAGUGUUUUCACUGCUGAGGCUCAAGUUCUUCAUUCUUGCUGUAGAUGAGGCUUUCGUUGGCCAACUGUCCGUCUCUGAGCUUGAUGGUCCAGGAAAAUAAUUUUUCCAAGAACAUAUUUUUUUUUUUUCUGGGAGAACAGGACGUUUCUUGCUUUGAUAGCCUCUGUGAUUUUGUAUACUGAUGCUUAUAGUCAAGUCCUAGGUUUAAAUUCUGGGAAAGAUUUCGCAAAGAAUCCCCUAAAACUUUUGAACCAGGUUCUCUGCUUAGUCCUGCCUUCCAUGAAUGUAUGGACCUUUGUCUAAAAGGAAAGACUCUUUGAAUUGCAACUAAAACCAAAUCAAUCUCUCUCUCUUUCUCUCUCUCUCUCUCUCUCUCUCUCACACACACACACACACACACACACACGCACGAGUUUAUUUGGAGAGAAAUCAGAGACUUAUUUUGACAGAGACCUCUUGUGCCCAGGUUGCUCGUGAAUGUUAUUUUGCGUAAAGAAUACUAGAAGUAGACUGAGUAACAACACAGGAAGUAAGUGCCACAUUCAGCUGUGUUGUAUAGUAAGCAGCAUUCGAUAAAUACACCUUGUCUUGGAUUCAAUAUUGCUUAGGCCCUGUCCACAGUUUUAGGCAAAGAAACUAUUUGGACUGAUUAUUUCAACAAUUCAAAGUAAGGAUACUGUAUUAUUGUAAGAAACUCUAACUCUUCAAAUUAACAACCCUACAAUUUCAGCACCUUAACAGAAUAAAGGUCUACUGUCUCUUCCUACCACUGUUGUAAUGUAUGUUGGGAGUAGUGUAAGGCUCUGCACCAUGAAGUCAUUCAGGGAUUCAGCCUCCCUCUAUCUUUUGUCACCUUCAUCUUUACCAUGCCAUCACCAAGGUGACCACAGAAAACUGAGAAAGAAAUAGAAUGUUUCUUUCUUACAAGGAACCUGUAGGCUCACUCUUACUGUCUUGGUCCCAAAACGCCUCCUCAAUACAAAAAGACUAGAUAUGUAAUCUGGGACCAGUCUUUGCCACAGAUGCCAUUGUCUUCAUUAUGUAGAUAGUUCGUGUAAAAAUAUCUAGCUGCAAUCAUAGGGAAUUGUUCCAGUUUCCUCCAUCUCAUCAUGUCUUGGAGCUGGUAGAAGGAACACUUACAGAACCCCCUUCCUGAGGUGUUUCUUCAUGAGUACUAAGCCAGUGUCCUCCAAGAAGCAAUGGCCUCAUGGGGAGUGGUUGUGAACGGAGCUGAUGAUGCCACCAUGGCACUCAUACCUGAGGUGUUCUUCAGUCAGUUUCAGUGACUACAGUCUGGUUUAGUUCGUUCGUUCUUUUCUUUUUCUUUCUUUCUUUCUUUCUUUCUUUCUUUCUUUCUUCUUUCUUUCUUUCUUUCUUCUUUCUUUUCUUUCUUUCUUUCUCUCUCUUUCUUUCCUUUUCUUUUUCUUUCUUCUCUCUUUCUUUCUCUCUCUCUCUCUUUCUUUUCUUUCUUUCUUUCUUUUAGAGUCUUGCUCUGUCACUCAGGCUGGAAUGCAGUGGUGCGACCUCGGCUCGCUGCAACCUCCAUCUCCCAGGUUCAAGAGAUUCUCCUGCCUCAGCCUCCUGAUUAGCUGGGAUUACAGGUGCCCACCACCAUGCCCAGCUAAUUUUUUGUAUUUUUAGUAGACAUAGGGUUUCACUGUGUUAGCCAGGAUGAUCUCGAUCUCCAGACUUCAUGAUCUGCCUGCCUUGGCCUCCCAAAGUGCUGGGAUUACAGGCAUGAGACACUGUGCCUGGCCUAGUUAUUCUUUAUAGCAGCAGGACUUCUUUCACUUGCAACCUGAAAAAGAAUGUAUAAAAUAUCAAACCUAGGCCAUAAAUAUUGUUUUAUCUUCUUUAAAUAAUAAAU
rnacentral:lncRNA from 1 species